UACAGAGGUCCCGAGCGUUGUUCGGAUUCAUUGGGCGUCAAGGGUGCGUAGGCGGCGGGGUAAGUCUGAUGUGAAAUCCUGGGGCUCAACCCCAGAACUGCAUUGGAUACUGCCUUGCUAGAGUACUGGAGAGGAAACUGGAAUCUACGGUGUAGCAGUGAAAUGCGUAGAGAUCGUAAGGAAGACCAGUGGCGAAGGCGAAUCUCUGGACAGUUACUGACACUGAGGCACGAAGGCCAGGGGAGCAAACGGG
rnacentral:rRNA from 1 species